CGAGGUGGGUCGAGGUUGGGGAAUAUAUUCCUUGUCUCCAUCUCCGUUUAGCCAAUGGGCAAAAUUUUCUCCCCGCUCCCUCCCCCAUUCCCCGACUAAUCGAUUGGCUCUGCGGGUUAAAUGGACAUCUCUACGUAUGCGUGCUAACCAUUCAUCUUUAUUUCUAUCGUUUCAAUUUCAAAUUUCUCUCUAUCAUUCUUCUUGUUCUUCUUCUACCACUGUUGCUUCCUGUUCUCUCCUUGCUCUUCUUCAUCUUAAUCCUAUUCUUCUUCCGCUAUUGUUGUUAUUGUUUCUUCUUCCUUUUUCUUAUGCCACCAUCGCUGCCGUUGUUGCAUCUUAUUUCUUUUUCUACAAUAGAGUAAAGAUUUAACGAAUCAACUACAUCAGUAAUAACUCAACUCUUCAAGGUUAUAACUCUUUUCUUUUCUUCUCAUCAAUCUAUCAGUGGUCAUAGUUAUUAAACCUAAAUUUUGUGAACAUAUGGUAAGCAACAUAAAAAGGAAAACAAUCAAAGGCGAAUCAUCAACCAAAGGAAAGAAAAUAAAAACAAAAAAGCAGGUGAAAGUAAAACCAAAGGUAUAAACGUUAAUCAUAAACUUGUGAUGGCACGCCAUGGUCUCGCGACCAUAAAUUUCCCUGUUAAUAAUAGGUCAUAACUUUUUAAUCAGAUGGCCGCUUUGGGCAAGUGACAAAUUGUUUUUUUUUUUUUUUUUUUUUUCCAUCCUCUAUCCAGAUCCAACAUUAGUUUUGAGUUUGGAGUUCUGAUUUGAAGAGUUUCAUUGGAAAAAAAACACCCGAAAUGCUUGAUCAAAAAGAAAUUCUAUAAGAUGGGUGUGAUGAUGGGAGCUACAGGUGUAGGUAUACUUGUCAAAUUUGUGCCUUUGUUGUCUAUGUUAGAUACCUGAAGAAAGGAAGGUUUGUUUAGAGCCUCCACAAGAGAAUUCUUGGUGAGUUCGACUUGGGAUCACUUAGGGUUUUCCACAAAUGUCGAGAGGUUGCCGUUAGAAAUUUUCAUAGCCUAAUUGUGGAGUUGAUUGAAAUUGGAUCAAGAAUGAGACGUUGAUGCAUUGUUGGCAAUGAAUUAAUCGACGACUAAUUCUAAUCUCUGUACAAUAUGCUUAGCACUUGUAUUCUGAACAUGAGUGACUAAAUUAUAUUGUAGUUCUAGGGUUUGAUUGAUUUCAAUUGUUUAUGGGUGAUUCUUAAUUAUUUUGAUUAAUUGAAUGCAUUGGUCUCUUAUCAUGUUUGCGUUUUUCCAAUUGAAUGUUUGUUCACCAUUUGAUUGAUUUAGGACUUUUAAAUAUACUAUACUUGAGAAAGAGAUUUUUAAACUGGAACUAGCAUGAUAAACUGACAUUGGAAUAUGAAUGAGAUUGAUAGGAAAACGUGAGAGGUUAAGAAUGAAGAGGAUUAAUGCUAUGUCUUUUAGUUUGAAUUGCAUGAAAAUAGAAUUGAUUUUUAGACAUUAGAAAGGGUUGAGCUCGUAAGAGGAAACUUAGAUCUUCUAGGCCUAAGUUGAUACAUUGAAUUAAUUGAAAGAAAAUAUUUUGAAUCCAUAAUAAUGUUGAAUGAGAUCAAUACCCUAAGACAAUCUGGUCAAAUGAAUCCUUACUUUGAACAUUUAUUUGCUUUCUUUAGUUUUAUGUUUAAAAAAUCAUCCUGUUUUGAUUUCUUAAAUAAAGUCGAAAAGAUUGCUUGAUAGCUAGUUAAAUUAAAUAACUAAUUCUCUGAGGACGACAACCAAUUUAUUUGGAUUUUAUUACUUCGAUGCAUACACUUGUACGUGUCAUAUGCUUCCACUACAACUAACAAAAGAAGAAUCUCAAUCAACCACCAUAAAAUAUUUCAUUGAUCUGGGGAAGAAGGAGACGGAGGAGGAGGAGAAAGAAAAAGAAAGAGAUGGGAGAGGAAAAAAAAUAAAGGAAUUGAAAAAUUGAUUGCAGAAGAAGAAAGAAAAAACGUGUCUACAAAAAGAAUGAUGGAAGAAAUCCAAGAACUCAAAAAAGGCCAAAAGAGUGUAGAACAAGAACAAAAAGAUUUGAAACAAGACAAAAAAGAAACCACAAGUUUGUUGAAUACCAUUAUGGAUGGCCUGAAGGAUAGACUUCCAUUUGUAAAUCUUCCACAACAAGAAGAAAAAGAGCAUGAACAGAGUGUGGAGAAAAAGAAGGCUCCUUCUUCUAGCCUUCAAGUUUUGGAAGAAAAUGAUAAUAUCGAUGAAAUGGUGGAGUAUGCAAAAAAAUUUAUAUCUGGGAUAAGUCCUUGGUAUGUGGUAGUCUAUUUUUUUAAUUGUAACUAUACAUUUACUAACUAUAAAAUUGCCUUUUCUCGUAGAUUGAAAUUGGAAAUGAAUAACAAAAUGAAGGAAAGGAAUCUGACAUCCAAACACAACAGCAUGAAACUCAAAAUGAUUUGGAACCUAUUCCAACUUUAGAUUUGGAAACUUCAAAAAUACGAGAGUUUUCAGUAGAGUUGGAGGAUGCUCAGUAAGACCAAAACACAAGAAAAGGAAAAGAAAAAUGUUUCAUUCUUUCUCUUAAGCUACUUUGUCUUAGACUUAAUGUUUAUGGACACUGAUAGAUAGUGAUAAACUUCCAUAGACACUGAUAGAAGUCUAUUAUUGUCUUUCAGUGGUUGAUUAUUUUCUUAAGCUUAGCUACUACUUUGUUAUUAAUGAUAGUGUAGUCUUCUAUCUUAUUAUUAAGUUUCUUAAGUUUAGAACUAUAUUGCUUUCUAUCAUAUGCUUGUAGGAAGUUGAAGUUGAAGGACAAGAAGUUGAAGUUCAAGAAAGAGUGAAAGAAGAAAUUGAAGAAGAAGAAGAACUUGAAGAAGAAUAGAACAAAAAAAAGGGAAAGAAAGUCAAAAUAUAGAAGUGAGAAAGAGCAAAUCUAUGAAGAAGAGGAACUUGAAGAACAUCAAGUAGAAGAAGAGAAAAUUAAGGAUGAACAAGUUGAGCAGGAAUAACAAAUUAAAGAAGAUACUGAUUAGGAAGAGAAUGAAGAGAUUGAAAGAAUAGGAAAAAACAAAAAAAAAAAAAAAAGGAAGCAAGUUGCUGAAGAGAAUGGAAAGCAUAAAAAGUUUAGAUCGAAGGUGGUAGAAGACAAAUAUGUUCAGAACGAGAGACCAAAGAGAUGGAAAAAACCAAUGAAAAAGACAAUAAACAAUAAGAAUAAGAAUGAAAAGAAGGUCUCCUCAAAGAAGAAACCUGAGAAGAAGAAGGACUCCCCACAGAGGAUAGUAACAAAAAAAUUGAUGGUGGAAAUUGCUCCAAGCUUCGACCUGAAGAUUUCUCAACUAAAAUCUCAAUCUCAAUUCUAAAACUUUUGCUUUGGCAAAAUUUCUUUGUAGUUGAAAAUUAAAUGCUUUUGCUUUGUGAACAUGUUUCGAUAUAUACUUGUUAGACAAUUAACAACUUUUGUUAAGUAUUUUUGUCACACCCCCCUUCCAAAUUCACCUCUUUCUCAAGGAGGAAGAUGUGAGGACAGCAGAUGCGAACUCUCUUAUGACAUCUAUUGUCAAUUGAAUCUGUUAAACUAGCAUCUUAAGAAUUUGUUUUGCUUUAGGCUUUAACCUGUAAACUUGUAUAUUAGCAAAUCUAUCACGGAACACAACUUAACUCAUCUCAAC